rnacentral:rRNA from 1 species
UGGGGAAUUGUUCGCAAUGGGCGCAAGCCUGACGACGCAACGCCGCGUGGAGGAUGAAGACCCUCGGGUCGUAAACUCCUUUCGAUCGAGACGAACGGCCUCCGGGUGAACAAUCCGGAGGAGUGACGGUACCGAGAGAAGAAGCCCCGGCUAACUCCGUGCCAGCAGCCGCGGUAAUACGGGGGGGGCAAGCGUUGUUCGGAAUUACUGGGCGUAAAGGGCUCGUAGGCGGCCAACUAAGUCAGACGUGAAAUCCCUCGGCUUAACCGGGGAACUGCGUCUGAUACUGGAUGGCUUGAAUCCGGGAGAGGGAUGCGGAAUUCCAGGUGUAGCGGUGAAAUGCGUAGAUAUCUGGAGGAACACCGGUGGCGAAGGCGGCAUCCUGGACCGGUAUUGACGCUGAGGAGCGAAAGCCAGGGGAGCAAACGGG